UACGGGGGGAGCAAGCGUUGUUCGGAUUUACUGGGCGUAAAGGGCGCGUAGGCGGUCGUGACAAGUCACUUGUGAAAUCUCCGGGCUUAACUCGGAACGGUCAAGUGAUACUGUCGGACUAGAGUACAGAAGGGGCAACUGGAAUUCUCGGUGUAGCGGUGAAAUGCGUAGAUAUCUGGAGGAACACCGGUGGCGAAGGCGGCAUCCUGGACCGACACUGACGCUGAGGAGCGAAAGCCAGGGGAGCAAACGGG
rnacentral:rRNA from 1 species